rnacentral:snRNA from 1 species
UCUAAGUCAGAAUCCGGG